AGCAGCCGCGGUAAUUCCAGCUCCAAUAGCGUAUAUUAAAGUUGUUGCAGUUAAAAAGACUCGUAGUUGAAUUUCGGGAUCAAUACGUCGGUCGUGCUUCGGUACGUACUGGCGUAAUUGAUUUCUCCCUUCUGACGAACCAUGAUGUCAUUAACUUGGUGUCAUGGGAAAUCAGGACUGUUACUUUGAAAAAAUUAGAGUGUUUAAAGCAGGCUUUAGCUUGAAUACAUUAGCAUGGAAUAAUGAAAUAGGACGUUUGAUCCUAUUUUGUUGGUUUCUAGGAUUGACGUAAUGAUUAAUAGGGAUAGUUGGGGGCAUUAGUAUUCAAUUGUCAGAGGUGAAAUUCUUGGAUUUAUUGAAGACUAACUACUGCGAAAGCAAUUUGCCUAAGGAUGUUUUCAUUAAUCAAGAACGAAAGUUAGGGGAUCGAAGACGAUCAGAUACCGUCGU
rnacentral:rRNA from 1 species